rnacentral:rRNA from 1 species
AAAUUGAAGAGUUUGAUCAUGGCUCAGAUUGAACGCUGGCGGCAGGCCUAACACAUGCAAGUCGAACGGUAACAGGAAGCAGCUUGCUGCUUUGCUGACGAGUGGCGGACGGGUGAGUAAUGUCUGGGAAACUGCCUGAUGGAGGGGGAUAACUACUGGAAACGGUGGCUAAUACCGCAUAACGUCGCAAGACCAAAGAGGGGGACCUUCGGGCCUCUUGCCAUCAGAUGUGCCCAGAUGGGAUUAGCUUGUUGGUGAGGUAACGGCUCACCAAGGCGACGAUCCCUAGCUGGUCUGAGAGGAUGACCAGCCACACUGGAACUGAGACACGGUCCAGACUCCUACGGGAGGCAGCAGUGGGGAAUAUUGCACAAUGGGCGCAAGCCUGAUGCAGCCAUGCCGCGUGUAUGAAGAAGGCCUUCGGGUUGUAAAGUACUUUCAGCGGGGAGGAAGGUGUUGUGGUUAAUAACCGCAGCAAUUGACGUUACCCGCAGAAGAAGCACCGGCUAACUCCGUGCCAGCAGCCGCGGUAAUACGGAGGGUGCAAGCGUUAAUCGGAAUUACUGGGCGUAAAGCGCACGCAGGCGGUCUGUCAAGUCGGAUGUGAAAUCCCCGGGCUCAACCUGGGAACUGCAUUCGAAACUGGCAGGCUUGAGUCUUGUAGAGGGGGGUAGAAUUCCAGGUGUAGCGGUGAAAUGCGUAGAGAUCUGGAGGAAUACCGGUGGCGAAGGCGGCCCCCUGGACAAAGACUGACGCUCAGGUGCGAAAGCGUGGGGAGCAAACAGGAUUAGAUACCCUGGUAGUCCACGCCGUAAACGAUGUCUACUUGGAGGUUGUGCCCUUGAGGCGUGGCUUCCGGAGCUAACGCGUUAAGUAGACCGCCUGGGGAGUACGGCCGCAAGGUUAAAACUCAAAUGAAUUGACGGGGGCCCGCACAAGCGGUGGAGCAUGUGGUUUAAUUCGAUGCAACGCGAAGAACCUUACCUGGUCUUGACAUCCACAGAACUUUCCAGAGAUGGAUUUGUGCCUUCGGGAACUGUGAGACAGGUGCUGCAUGGCUGUCGUCAGCUCGUGUUGUGAAAUGUUGGGUUAAGUCCCGCAACGAGCGCAACCCUUAUCCUUUGUUGCCAGCGGUUAGGCCGGGAACUCAAAGGAGACUGCCAGUGAUAAACUGGAGGAAGGUGGGGAUGACGUCAAGUCAUCAUGGCCCUUACGACCAGGGCUACACACGUGCUACAAUGGCGCAUACAAAGAGAAGCGACCUCGCGAGAGCAAGCGGACCUCAUAAAGUGCGUCGUAGUCCGGAUUGGAGUCUGCAACUCGACUCCAUGAAGUCGGAAUCGCUAGUAAUCGUGGAUCAGAAUGCCACGGUGAAUACGUUCCCGGGCCUUGUACACACCGCCCGUCACACCAUGGGAGUGGGUUGCAAAAGAAGUAGGUAGCUUAACCUUCGGGAGGGCGCUUACCACUUUGUGAUUCAUGACUGGGGUGAAGUCGUAACAAGGUAACCGUAGGGGAACCUGCGGUUGGAUCACCUCCUUA